GAUGAACGCUAGCUACAGGCUUAACACAUGCAAGUCGAGGGGCAGCAUGGUCUUAGCUUGCUCAGGCCGAUGGCGACCGGCGCACGGGUGAGUAACACGUAUCCAACCUGCCGUCUACUCUUGGACAGCCUUCUGAAAGGAAGAUUAAUACAAGAUGGCAUCAUGAGUUCACAUGUUCACAUGAUUAAAGGUAUUCCGGUAGACGAUGGGGAUGCGUUCCAUUAGAUAGUAGGCGGGGUAACGGCCCACCUAGUCUUCGAUGGAUAGGGGUUCUGAGAGGAAGGUCCCCCACAUUGGAACUGAGACACGGUCCAAACUCCUACGGGAGGCAGCAGUGAGGAAUAUUGGUCAAUGGGCGAGAGCCUGAACCAGCCAAGUAGCGUGAAGGAUGACUGCCCUAUGGGUUGUAAACUUCUUUUAUAAAGGAAUAAAGUCGGGAAUGUAUACCCGUUUGCAUGUACUUUAUGAAUAAGGAUCGGCUAACUCCGUG
rnacentral:rRNA from 1 species